GACGAACGCUGGCGGCGUGCUUAACACAUGCAAGUCGAACGGAAAGGCCCUGCUUUUGUGGGGUGCUCGAGUGGCGAACGGGUGAGUAACACGUGAGUAACCUGCCCUUGACUUUGGGAUAACUUCAGGAAACUGGGGCUAAUACCGGAUAGGAGCUCCUGCUGCAUGGUGGGGGUUGGAAAGUUUCGGCGGUUGGGGAUGGACUCGCGGCUUAUCAGCUUGUUGGUGGGGUAGUGGCUUACCAAGGCUUUGACGGGUAGCCGGCCUGAGAGGGUGACCGGCCACAUUGGGACUGAGAUACGGCCCAGACUCCUACGGGAGGCAGCAGUGGGGAAUAUUGCACAGUGGGCGGAAGCCGGAUGCAGCAACGCCGCGUGCGGGAUGACGGCCUUCGGGUUGUAAACCGCUUUCGCCUGUGACGAAGCGUGAGUGACGGUAAUGGGUAAAGAAGCACCGGCUAACUACGU
rnacentral:rRNA from 1 species